ensembl:lncRNA
ACAAAAGACAUAGCAGAGACAGUCUUAAAGAGUUAAGUUGUUGGUCCGCUGUUCCAGCAGAGCCACCCGUGGUGUUGGGGGUCUCACAACAUUUCCUCUGUGUGUCCUCUUGAGCUGAGAUUGCUGCUUUGAGCCAGCAAGGAAACAAAUCGAAAUUUUUCCAGGUGAUGCUGACGGUAUAACAUCAGGCGAGUACGAGAGAUGGAGAAGAUGCUGACGUUUCCCAAAAAACCCCACACAAACACACACAGACACACACAUACAGGCAGAGAGUAAAUGGGAGUCUUCUGUCAGGAGUGUGAGUCAUUCCCAAGUGUAGAAAACUGAAUUAAAGUGAAUCAGGCUGAACUGAAAUGACCUGAGCUGAAAAGAAGGCUUCAGCUGGACAGCCCUCUGAAGGUGCUGAGGGAAAAAAAAUUAGAUGACAAAUAAUUUGGAAAUAAUGCAGAUGGCACACUGUGGUUUCUCGAGGUGGCCUCGCUAGAUUUCCUGUUCUGCAUUCCCCGUUUUCUUUUUUUCAUUUUCAUAUUUACAUUACAUUCGAUGACAUUUAUUAAACUGUACGUCUCUGGACUCUCAGCAUUUGUAUCCUAUCUGUUUUCGUAUUUGAGCUUGUGCCAUAUCCAUCAAAAGUGUACAUUAGAAAUCUGCGACAUUUCAGUCUGUUCAUUAUUGUGGAAUUAAAUAUUAGACACAGAAUUAGAUUUUUAAAAAUAAAUCUACAGGCUUUUUUAAGCUAGCUGGUGCCAUUUCGUUUCACAUCAUUUGUCUUUCUUUUUAACCACAACUGCACAAAAUUAGUCUUGCUUAAUAUUUUGUAAUGAUGGCAAAUUAUUGUUUUCCAUCUGAGCUUCACACUUGCAUCAAUUAAAGAGUGCUAGGAUGAUCUGCUCUCUAAGCAACUCCAGAUUCAGUGACCUUUACAUUUUGAGUUUAACUGAAACAUGACAAGAAAAAAAAAUAAGUAUGUGUUCGGUGUGAUCGUGUCAGUCAUAAGUUACUUCAUCAUAAGACCCAAGCAGCUGAUUUUGACGUGGUUUACAUGUGGGUUUAAUCACAAACUCUUCUUUUUUAUUGUACCUUCUUGUUCUUGUGCUCCACUGUUUAAAAGAUAAAAUAAAAAAAAAACAUUGUGAAAG